GCUUAUGCUAAAUUUUGUAAAUUUUUUGUUGAUGUGGAUGUGGGCUCUGAGAUGAGGCCAUUAAGGAAUGGAAAUUGCGUGGAGUAACCUCCUCUCCUCUUUCUUAGGGGUUUUUUUUUGGAUAAUUUCUCCUUUUUUUUUAUGUAGGUAAAAUGAAAUUAAAACGCCUCUCUUUGUUGUUUUUUUUUUCGUUUAAUUUUUCCCUUGGAUUCUGAGGUUGGGGAUUUUAUGAUUGUUAAUACGCUGUGUCGUAUGGACGGGUGGAACAGUUAACAUUUUGGUUUCUAUUUUAGUUGGUAUGGAAUAUGCAUGUUUGUUGACUAUUUGAAAUUGUGGUAGACAAUCUAAAGGACUAACAAUGAUGGAAAUGCAAUCAUUGAAAAAUCUACAAAAUACCAGUUGGAGCAUUUAAGGAUUUUUGGUAGAAACUAGCUUGCAGGUUACACUUAAUUUUAAUAUUCUAUACUUGACCAUGUUUUGAAAGGAGUUGGUAUAGUUUUUGAGCUAACAAUUCAUUGACCUUUGGUUGAUUGCUUGUGGGACAUUUUGUGAGAUACCUGGCUAGAAAAUUAUACUCAAAAUCAGAUCUCCACCGGGCAUCUUAAAGGAUACUCCUUACGGCGAGGACUCUUGUGAUCGCACUCGAAAUGUUGUUUUUAAGGAAAUUGUGGCGUUGACAAACUAAAAAAAGGUACAAUCUUAUUGGAGUCUUACGGCGUGUUAUUCACAAAAGUGAUCAAUAUAAAUAACCAACCUCCUUGGCUAAGGUGGUUCUGAAAGUAUGCCUCUAGAGAUCAAAUGUUCUCGUGGUUCUCUCAGUAUCUGCCCCCAAUUGGUGAUGAACUCUGACAAUCGUCGAACAGGAUGUCCGGAGAUGAGUUUUUUUAGAGGGAGUAAAGGAAGAAGUUAUCGGGCGCCCUUGAGGAGAUGUCUACAGCUGGAGAGGAAGGUUUAUUUAUUUGUCAAAAAUUGAUGAGACUCGUGCUAGGAAAAAAGCUUUUUGAUGUAAUAGGUAUUGUUAUUGUGGAAGAAUGUGUUUUACACAUUAGGAAAGUUUGAAUAUAAUAGUUAGUUUUCCUAGAAUUAGGUUGAUUUGGUUAGUUUCCCUUUUUAGUGUGAUAUCCCAUAGAUUAUGGGAUGUGAUUGCCGUUUCUAAAGGCUAGGACUCCUGUAUAUAAACCGGUUGUAAUUGUCAUGCAAUAAUACAAUUUUUCCUCUCAA